rnacentral:rRNA from 1 species
GAUGAACGCUAGCUACAGGCUUAACACAUGCAAGUCGAGGGGCAGCAUGAACUUAGCUUGCUAAGUUUGAUGGCGACCGGCGCACGGGUGAGUAACACGUAUCCAACCUGCCGAUGACUCGGGGAUAGCCUUUCGAAAGAAAGAUUAAUACCCGAUUGCAUGAUAGCAUCAUUAAAGAUUUAUCGGUGUACGAUGGGGAUGCGUUCCAUUAGGUAGUAGGCGGGGUAACGGCCCACCUAGCCGACGAUGGAUAGGGGUUCUGAGAGGAAGGUCCCCCACAUUGGAACUGAGACACGGUCCAAACUCCUACGGGAGGCAGCAGUGAGGAAUAUUGGUCAAUGGACGAGAGUCUGAACCAGCCAAGUAGCGUGAAGGAUGAAGGUCCUACGGAUUGUAAACUUCUUUUAUAAGGGAAUAAACCCUCCCACGUGUGGGAGCUUGUAUGUACCUUAUGAAUAAGCAUCGGCUAACUCCGUG